rnacentral:rRNA from 1 species
GACGAACGCUGGCGGCGUGCUUAACACAUGCAAGUCGAACGGAAAGGCCCUGCUUUUGUGGGGUGCUCGAGUGGCGAACGGGUGAGUAACACGUGAGUAACCUGCCCUUGACUUUGGGAUAACUUCAGGAAACUGGGGCUAAUACCGGAUAGGAGCUCCUGCUGCAUGGUGGGGGUUGGAAAGUUUCGGCGGUUGGGGAUGGACUCGCGGCUUAUCAGCUUGUUGGUGGGGUAGUGGCUUACCAAGGCUUUGACGGGUAGCCGGCCUGAGAGGGUGACCGGCCACAUUGGGACUGAGAUACGGCCCAGACUCCUACGGGAGGCAGCAGUGGGGAAUAUUGCACAAUGGGCGGAAGCCUGAUGCAGCAACGCCGCGUGCGGGAUGACGGCCUUCGGGUGGUAAACCGCUUUCGCCUGUGACGAAGCGUGAGUGACGGUAAUGGGUAAAGAAGCACCGGCCAACUACGU